UACGAAGGGGGCUAGCGUUGUUCGGAUUUACUGGGCGUAAAGCGCACGUAGGCGGAUCGUUAAGUCGGGGGUGAAAUCCUGGAGCUCAACUCCAGAACUGCCUUCGAUACUGGCGAUCUUGAGUCCGGAAGAGGUGAGUGGAACUCCUAGUGUAGAGGUGGAAUUCGUAGAUAUUAGGAGGAAUACCGGUGGCGAAGGCGGCCUUCUGGGCCGAUCUUGACGCUGAGACGCGAAAGCGUGGGGAGCAAACAGG
rnacentral:rRNA from 1 species